ACGCCCGGGCAGCCGCGGGCCCCGCCAGCCGCAGCGCCCACGGAACCGGUGCCCCAGCCCCCGGGUCUCCUUCCGCGUCUUUCCUCCCAAACACCCCGGCGAGUCGAGGGCGCGACCCGCGAAGCCAGAAACCACCUUCUCCCAAAGCGUGGCCCUCCAGGUACCUAAUUGAAUCAUCCAUAGGAUGACAAAUCCGUCCGGGCCAAGUUUUCCAGACACUUGGGCAACUUCCUCGUCCCCGGGGUGAUUUGUCAGCUCCAGUGAGUAACUUGGAAGUGUCGCUCGGGGCAAGGGACGGGAGCCGUGAGCAGGACAGAGUGCCCGAGACUGAGACAUUCUCCAAACAGUGCUGACAUUCUGUCGGCCCCAGAGAAGUGUAAACGCGGAGUGACGAAGCCGAAGCCGGCGGGGAGUGCGAGCGUCUGGGUACGUCUGCGCAUUCUGCGGCGUGGGAGGUGAUAGUUAUAGACCUGGCGGCUGCGGGUGGCGGGACCGUCCCAGCGACAAGUUCAAGGACCCCCAACCGAAGGGCCUCCUGGAGCAGUGGGGACCUGGUCUCGGGCGAGGUGCGAGCGUGCAAAAAAAUGCCCUUGGUGGAGCUUCACAAACACGUGGGAGCUGGAAAAGGCAGCUUCAGCCCCGUGUGUGUGCGCGCGCGGGACCUCACGUCACCCCACCAACUCUCACUUCUCCAAAGUUUCCCUUCAGUGGGGACUCCUGGGUGGCAUGCAGGACCACAGCCUCGCGUCCUGUAACUUGCCUUCAUUGUGUGGCCCUCUGGCCCCUGCUGUUCAAAAGAAAAACCAAAAACAAAAUC